rnacentral:rRNA from 1 species
UAUAAAGAUAUAUUAUUUAUUUAAAAAAUCAUUUUUUUUGUUUUUGUAUUUGUUAAAGAUUUAAUUUUAUUUGGUGAUAAAGUAUUUGUACUGUGAGGGUUAAUUGAAAUAAAUAUAUUUAUUAAUUAAGUUAAUUUUAUUUAUUGUGCCUUGUGUAUCAGGAUUAAUUAAAUGAUUAUCAUAAAUUUUGAUGUUCUCGAUUUUAUAAGAGUUAAUUUAUUAUUUUAGUUAUUAUUUUAUAAAUAUUGAUAAUAAUAAAUUAGUAGUGAUAUGUUAAUCGUUUAUAAGGAUAUCUAGUUUUUUGGGAAAUAAAUUUCAUUUUCAUUUUUUCUUUAAUUAUUUUUAUUUUUAAUUUAAUUUAAGUUUAAAUG